ensembl:lncRNA
AAAAAAUGGGGAGCUCAGUGCAGUAUUUAACAAUCUGCUUUGAUAGCUGGCCAAUCCACUUACCCUUGCACGGAGCACAUGCCACGGUAGUUCUUUCUUCCAUUAACUCCUUGGUGCUGGGAAACAGAAACGAUUCACAUGGCGUGGAAUGGGAAAAGCAAAAGUGCGGGCCUGGCAAAAACUUUGUGCUUACCUUGUGCCCAGCCUGGAGGGGAUUUGUGAACUAUGGGAAUGAUCAGAUGAACAUUUGCCGGAUGGCUGAGGUGCUUGGGAGUGUGAUGCAGCCCUGCUGAGUUCUGCAGGGCAGCAUCUCUGUGGGGAAACGAGCUGGGCUGGGCGCUGGCUGGUUUGUCAGAACUGUUGCUGGCUGUUGUUCAGUGUAGCUCAGCUGUUCCCGUGUGACGCGGCUGUUUCCUCACCUCUUGACUCUCUGAUUCUAUGAUUCUUGCACAAGCUGAUGCCAAGGGUUUGGAGGGGGAGGAUUUUGCCAGCAUCACUCCUGCCUGGUUCAGGGGCUGGGUUUUUUCUGUUGGACUGGGAAGGGAUGGGGAGGAAUCAUAUCCUUGCGUGGAGAAGUGGUGAUGGCUCAUAAGCUGGAGGUGCAGGAGCCUUGGUUGAGGAGUGCAGAAGGGAGGCCAUGUCUCCUUGCUUCCUCAGUGCAGAAAUAACCCAUAGGAGCACAUGCAUGGCUCCAGAGCCUGGCCCGGCUGAGCACCCAUCAUACAGUGAGCAGUGAGUGAACUUGUACUUCCUCGGAAAGCACCUGAUGCAACCUCCAAGUGCUGCAAGGGGCAGUCAUUGGCAGGAAAUGGUAGGAGCUUCUUUCCCAGGAUGAAACACGGUACUAUCCUCCUUUAGAGCAGAGAAAUGAGGGGCCGGGAGAAGGAUAUGAAAAAUAGAUCAGCUUCAGUUGAAACCUGGCAUUUGGAACACCUCGAACUCUGGCAGGCCUCGGGACAACACUUCAAGCUUCUUCAGCCUCGCAAGGUGUGAAGAAACGGCGGCUGCGUGCUGUACCAAGGCUGAGAGCUCCUGAAGCUUCUGCUCUCCCUUUUUGCUCCACGUGGAUGCGGUAUCUGGCAGGGUGACAGCCCAGUCCCUCCCUGCCCGUGCUCCAUGUGUUGCCACUUUGCUGGGCUGCGUCCCACACCAACAUAACGUUCCUCUUGUCUGCGUGCUGAAUGUGCUAAGGCAUGCCAGAAGUAGGGCAUCAGCCAAGCGCUGAUACAGAAAGGAUGUACAGUGGGUAAAAGGUCCUAUGGUUUGGCCUUGGUUCUCUCUCUCUUUAUUUUUUUCUGGGUAGCUCUUCGUGGUUACGUGUUCUGGGCCAUGUUUGGAUUUUGCUAAGUCUGAUUGACACAACUACUUCUUCAAUCACCGUGGACAGCUUACUACAGGCUGAUGUGCCUGUGGUCAAGAACAAAAGGGACGAGGAGAAAAACAUUUUCUUCGUAGUCGGGAAAGCUGCUGUAGAUUCGGCAUCGCGCUUUAACUCGUGUUGUAUCAAAGAAAUACAACAAUAGCAGAAAUUAUUAUUUAUAGGAAGGUCUGUGAAUUCAGGAUGUGAUAUUAUGAGUCACCCGACGGCAAACAUGUUUGCACUCCGACUGCUAUGACUCAUGCUGGCAUUUGUCUUCAGCGUGGCAAUUGCUGGAGCCCUCUGCUUGGUGCACAAUGAAUGAAAGGGCUGAGGUCCCGCUGCAGACGUACUAUGUGCAGCUACACUGCUGAAUCGCAGACUCAGCUGGAGAGCAUUUCCUGUAACACAGACACACGCGUGCACACGCACACAUACACACACACACACACACACACACACACUCAACCGUAACACUUCAGGUUUACAUACUAGAUUCAUAGAAAGGAAAUGCAUAAUUACAGUGCUGGCUUGUGCACCACAUAAAGCAGCCCACAUCAAAAGGUGUUCGCCAUUAAUGUUUCAACAGGUAAUCUCUGGAUUUAUUGCCAAGCGGUGUUCCUGUUACUUAGCGUUUGGUGUUGAAAUCUCUGCUGUGAGCCAGUGUAGUCAUCUUAAUCCUGCAAAAAAAAAAAAAAAAGAAAGUUUG